CAAUAGCGUAUAUUUAAGUUGUUGCAGUUAAAAAGCUCGUAGUCGGAUUUUGGCUGAGAACGAUCGGUCCGCCGUUAGGUGUGCACUGAUUGGUCUCAGCUUCCUGGUGAGGAGGUGUGCUUCACGGCCACUUAGUCACCGUGGUUACUUUGAAAAAAUUAGAGUGUUCAAAGCGGGCUUACGCUUGAAUAUAUUAGCAUGGAAUAACACCAUAGGACUCCUGUCCUAUUUCGUUGGUCUCGGGACGGGAGUAAUGAUUAAGAGGAACAGUUGGGGGCAUUCGUAUUUCAUUGUCAGAGGUGAAAUCCUUGGAUUUAUGAAAGACGAACUUCUGCGAAAGCAUUUGCCAAGGAUGUUUUCAUUGA
rnacentral:rRNA from 1 species